rnacentral:rRNA from 1 species
GACGAACGCUGGCGGCGUGCUUAACACAUGCAAGUCGAACGGAAAGGCCCUGCUUGCAGGGUACUCGAGUGGCGAACGGGUGAGUAACACGUGGGUGAUCUGCCCUGCACUUCGGGAUAAGCUUGGGAAACUGGGUCUAAUACCGGAUAGGACUGCACUUUAGUGUGUGUGGUGGAAAGUUUUUUCGGUGUAGGAUGAGCUCGCGGCCUAUCAGCUUGUUGGUGGGGUAAUGGCCUACCAAGGCGGCGACGGGUAGCCGGCCUGAGAGGGUGUACGGCCACAUUGGGACUGAGAUACGGCCCAGACUCCUACGGGAGGCAGCAGUGGGGAAUAUUGCACAAUGGGCGCAAGCCUGAUGCAGCGACGCCGCGUGGGGGAUGAAGGCCUUCGGGUUGUAAACCCCUUUCGCUAGGGACGAAGCUUUUUGUGACGGUACCUAGAUAAGAAGCACCGGCUAACUACGUG